rnacentral:Y_RNA from 1 species
AAAUGGUCCAAAGGUUGAGUAUCUCAAUUUUUCACAAACACAGAUUGAACUUGUUCUAUACUUUCCCCUCUUCUCACUACUGAACUUGACUAGUCUUAA